rnacentral:rRNA from 1 species
CUACGGGACGCACCAGUCGAGAAUCUUCGGCAAUGGACGAAAGUCUGACCGAGCGACGCCGCGUGCGGGAUGAAGGCCUUCGGGUUGUAAACCGCUGUCAGAGGGAAGGAAAUUUUGACCGAUCCUCAAAGGAAGUACGGGCUAAGUUCGUGCCAGCAGCCGCGGUAAGACGAACCGUACAAACGUUAUUCGGAAUCACUGGGCUUAAAGGGUGCGUAGGUGGUCUAUUAAGUUGGGUGUGAAAUCCCUCGGCUCAACCGAGGAACUGCGCUCAAUACUGGUAGACUUGAGGGAGAUAGAGGUGAGCGGAACUGAUGGUGGAGCGGUGAAAUGCGUUGAUAUCAUCGGGAACACCUGUGGCGAAAGCGGCUCACUGGAUCUCUUCUGACACUGAGGCACGAAAGCUAGGGGAGCGAACGGGAUUAGAACCCUAGUAGUC